CCAUUGCCAAGGGCAGGGCGGGUGUCUGUGCCCCACAGGGAGGCUGAAUGGACCCAGCUGGGCUGGAGGUAGGGUGGCACAUGCCUGGCUGUCUUCCUGCCUCCUUGCCGCUCCCCACUGCCACAGCCAGAGGAGAGCCGAGUGGGGACAAAGUGAAUGUGGGCUGCUCACUGUGGGCUUGGAGCCAUCAACUCUGUUGCCUUUCCCUCGGGAGACCCAUGCUGGCCAUAAGCCCUUUGCCCACCAGCAGCAGUAGAGGGGGUGAGUUGUGCCUCCUGCUGCCAGGCAGACAGGGGGCACAUGGCCAGCACAGAGCUCCUGAGGCAAAAGCAGAAAAGCGGAGAACCCUGAUCCCACAGGAAGGAGCCUGCAUUUUCCCUGUGCACAAAUAUGGGGGGUACAUAGCCCCUCCAUGCCUCCCCUGGGAGGUGUGCCCAGUGAUGGGGAGCCACCCAUCCUCCCUUCCCUUCCCAUACUCAUACAAGCCGCCCAUGGCUCCAUCCUGCCCCCCACCCCAACCCCGGUCCCAUGUACUGCACUGGCUGGACAGCAGGCCCAGCCUGACUCCCUCAUUCACUGUGGGGGCCUUGAUCUGCCCCCACAUACUCUUUCCUCACUUACCUGCAGGGGGCUGCUCUCCACACUGCCCAGCUGUUCUCCAUGCAAGCAGCAUCCCCUGCGUCUCCCUCUUGGCAGCCUCAAGAUGGACACCUUGGCCAGCUAGAAUGCUGUCUGCCUGUAGGGGAAACCCGCCAUUUCCUAAGGGAACCCAGGCAUGUGGGGGGGCCCUGACUGGCAGAGACCCCAUGGUCCUGUGUGUUAAUCCACUAUGAUCCUGCCCACAGCCCAUCUGGCUUUUUGGGGCUGGGCUGGUGCUCAUACCAGUGAGCACUGGCCUAGCCCUGCCUCCAGGGUUGUCAUAGAAAGGAGACAGAAAACCUCUGUCUCCUCUCUGCACAGGUAGGGAGGACCCACUGCUGGGUGUGCCCCACCCUUCCUCACCAGCUACCUCUCCUAAGCUUUGGGGAGAGACAGACCAGGCCCUUCCUUCCCCCACCCCUUGUGUGAGAAC
rnacentral:lncRNA from 1 species